rnacentral:rRNA from 1 species
AUGCAGUCCAGCAUGCCGGCUUUCAAAACCGCUCCAGGUGUACAAGUAAAGCCCAGCAAGAGGACGAAGAGAAGUAAGCCGGCCGAAGAGCCAAUCUUUGCUGAACCGGAGCUCAGAACGGCUGCUCCUGAUACUUCCGCUCAUGAGCCGCCGCCUGAACCAGCCCAUGAUACUCCAACUCUCACCACUGAUCCGUCCGUCGAACAAGCUAUGGAAGGUUCUGAGAACCCGGAGAACCCUAGCCCGGCCAAGGCGGAUGACCCGGACGUCGAAAUCAUCCGGACUGACUUCGUUGAACCGGGGAGACCCACCGCGCUGGCCAAGUGCUCCGCCAAAGAAGAACUUCUAGAACGCCGCAAAACCCGGCUGGAUGUCCAAGUGCCAAGUACCUUUGCCUGCAAAGUGCUCGGGACUUAUUUCCAUGAACCGCCACUGCCGCCAUUAAGCAAUUUGAAUCGGAGAUCUCUGACUUGA